GUGGAAACGGAAACUUUUUAUUGGAAAACUUGACUAUGAUUCACUAAGAAUAUAUUUUGAUAAAUAAGGAAACAAUAUGUCAAAAACUAGGUCAUGGUCCUCUUAGGGAGCGCAGGUAUUGUAAUGGGGCCGCCUUCGCCGUCUUUCCCCCUUGUUUCUUUUUUGCGCUGCUGCCUGUGACAGGGAAGGAUGGGGCCCCAGGGAGCUCUCUGUAUCCUUCUCUGUGACAUCUCCUCUUGGCCUUCUCCCUACACAUAUCAACCUCCCUAGCACCUCAGCUUCUAAUUUUAGCUUCUGUUUUGCAUUUUGUGCAGCAUAAGGAAAUAUAAUGCAGAAUUUAGGCAGGGAGAAGUCAGGCUGUUUUCUUCCCCAUAAAUUGGCAGUGAUCCACAUUUGAGGGCUGAAGGCUGAUAGCAGUCAGAAAAACAGGGAAUAACAAAAUGGUUGUGCCUUCGUCUGCAUUAAAGAGCAGUGUCUUUUCAGGAUCCUGUGAGCUAGAACCUAACCUUUUACCUCUGCAAGGAUGGCUGGUUGCAUGACUUCAGAAACCAUGACACUAACUCCUGGUUUUGUAGAAGUUCAAAAUGACACAGAUAAUCGAUCAUGUUGGAAGUUUAGUAUCUUUAAUGUCAUCUUCAUGGAAAACGCCACUUAAGAAAUACUGAGAGUGCCAUGAGACAUGAAAAUAGAAAAAAAAAAAAAACUUAAAACAAGUGAGUAAAUGUUUAAGCAAUGAUAGAGCUUGGUGCAUCCUGGGAAUUUCUGGCCAGAGCUCCAUAGACAAAUUGGCCCAGCUGAUGCAAUUAUAAUGUAAUCAUAUGUCAAUGAUGCAAGUGUCUAAAAUUGCAAAUAAUGUCUUUGUUUUAAGGAGUUCAUGGCAUAACCACUUUAGAGACUGUUCAUAUUACAGCUCUGAAGGGUUUCAGGUUUAGAGAGGUUCCUAGAGGCUUUGUUGGGAUCUAAUGAACCAGCAAGGAGACAAUCCCCUGGGCUUCUGCUUCCCUUUCACUGUCUUUAUUUUGACCAGUCAGUAGCCCCAGCCAUAAAAUCUUUACCAUCUCAAACCUGAAAGAGGAGUUGUAUUGCAAAUGGCUAAAUGUAUCAAGAUUUGAUAGAGAUGAGCUGCCAG
rnacentral:lncRNA from 1 species